rnacentral:rRNA from 1 species
CCUACGGGAGGCUGCAGUGAGGAAUAUUGGUCAAUGGCCGGGAGGCUGAACCAGCCAAGCCGCGUGAAGGACGACGGCGCUAAGCGUUGUAAACUUCUUUUAUAUGGGGAUAAAAUAAGGUAUGCAUACCCUAUUGUAGGUACCUUAUGAAUAAGGAUCGGCUAACUCCGUGCCAGCAGCCGCGGUAAUACGGAGGAUCCGAGCGUUAUCCGGAUUUAUUGGGUUUAAAGGGUGCGUAGGUGGAUUGUUAAGUCAGUGGUGAAAGGAUGCGGCUCAACCGUGGCAUUGCCGUUGAAACUGGCAGUCUUGAGAACAGGAGAGGUGGGCGGAAUGCGUAGUGUAGCGGUGAAAUGCUUAGAUAUCACGAAGAACUCCGAUUGCGAAGGCAGCUCACUGGACUGGAUCUGACACUGAUGCACGAAAGUGUGGGUAUCGAACAGGAUUAGAUACCCGUGUAGUC